UACGUAGGGUCCGAGCGUUGUCCGGAAUUACUGGGCGUAAAGAGCUCGUAGGUGGUUUGUCGCGUUGUUCGUGAAAACUCACAGCUUAACUGUGGGCGUGCGGGCGAUACGGGCAGACUGGAGUACUGCAGGGGAGACUGGAAUUCCUGGUGUAGCGGUGAAAUGCGCAGAUAUCAGGAGGAACACCGGUGGCGAAGGCGGUUCUCUGGGCAUUACCUGACGCUGAGGAGCGAAAGUGUGGGGAGCGAACAGG
rnacentral:rRNA from 1 species